ACCAAAUCGAACACGAGCUAUGUCAGCAACCAUUUGAAGUGUCAGCCGUUUUAGCGUUCAUUUUUGACAGUGUUGUGAGCGGUAACGGUCAUUUUGCAAAGUUUUCACCUCAUACUGAGCGGUACUUAUAAAAAUGGCACAUACCGCUGCCGAAAAAAUUAAGCGGUAUAGGGAACGAAUAAAAAGUGAUCCCCA